rnacentral:rRNA from 1 species
CUGGUUGAUUCUGCCAGUAGUCAUAUGCUUGUCUCAAAGAUUAAGCCAUGCAUGUCUAAGUACAGACUUCCACAUAGUGAAACUGCGAAUGGCUCAUUAGAUCAGUUAUGGUUCAUUAGAUCGUACAAUCCUUACUUGGAUAACUGUGGCAAUUCUAGAGCUAAUACAUGCAACGAAAGCUCCGACCUCGCGGGAAGAGCGCUUUUAUUAGUUCAAGACCAGCCGGGGGACCCGUCUUGCCGCAAGGUUUGGCGGCCCUCGUCCAAAACUUGGUGACUCUGGAUAACAUCUGUGCGGAUCGCACGGCCCGAGAGCCGGCGACGUAUCUUUCAAGUGUCUGCCCUAUCAACUUUCGUAGGUAGUCGACCUGACCACCUAGGUUCUCACGGGUAGCGGGGGAUCGUGGGUUCGAUUACGGAGAAGGAGCCUGAGAAACGGCUACCACAUCCAAGGAAGGCAGCAGGCACGCAACUUACCCACUCCCGACACGGGGAGGUAGUGACGAAAAAUAACAAUACGGGACUCUUUCGAGGCCCCGUAAUUGGAAUGAGUACACUUUAAAUCCUUUAACGAGGAUCCAUUGGAGGGCAAGUCUGGUGCCAGCAGCCGCGGUAAUUCCAGCUCCAAUAGCGUAUAUUAAAGUUGUUGCAGUUAAAAAGCUCGUAGUUGGAUCUCGAGUACGGGCGUGCGGUCCACUUCGCGGUGGUCUCACUGCACGUUGCCCGGCUCAUCCUUGCCGGUCGUUUUCCCUUGGUGCUCUUCGCUGAGCGUCUCGGGGGGCCGGGACGUUUACUUUGAAAAAAUUAGAGUGUUCAAAGCAGGCCCUUCUCGCCUGCAUAAUGUUGCAUGGAAUAAUGGAAUAGGACCUCGGUUCUAUUUUGUUGGUUUUCGGAAAAGUCGAGGUAAUGAUUAAAAGGGACAGCCGGGGGCAUUCGUAUUACGGCGUUAGAGGUGAAAUUCUUGGAUCGCCGUAAGACGACCGACAGCGAAAGCAUUUGUCAUGGAUGUUUUCAUUAGUCAAGAACGAAAGUCAGAGGUUCGAAGACGAUCAGAUACCGUCGUAGUUCUGACCAUAAACGAUGCCGACCAGCGAUCCGCCGGCGUUGCUUCAAUGACCCGACGGGCAGCUUCCGGGAAACCAAAGUCUUUGGGUUCUGGGGGAAGUAUGGUUGCAAAGCUGAAACUUAAAGGAAUUGACGG